UGAUAUAUUUAUUGAAGUUAAAUUUUUUUAAAAAGAUAUAUAUAAAAAACAACUAGAAAAAUUACAUAAUGUAAAAUGUAUUUUACAGAAAUUUAGUAAAAAUAGAGAAAAAUUACAUGUCAACACACAACUAAUCUCCAAUUGGCCAGUCACAAGCAGUCAAAUAUAUUUCAUCGUAGAAGUUCCAAGUUGCAUAUUACUAGAAACAAUGCGCAUCUCCACUUUGUUCUUGAUCCAUCUAUGAAGACUACAAACACGGGUUCUUCUAUUUUAUAACACCAACACACAUAUUUGAAAAAGUCUCAUUCGAUGGGAAUUCUGCAGCCAUAGCGUAAAGCUUAUGGAGCCUAACGAUCAUUAUGAAUCUCUUUUGUCUCUACAACAAUCCCAUUCAUAGUCAAAGCUACCAAUCAUGUCGAGUGUUCUCCUAAAGAUCGCCAUCUCAUAAGUGAGUGGUAUUCAUUUUUAUUUUGUGUUAUCAGUUAUGUUUUCAAGAAUCCUAAGUUCUCUGAAAUGAUUUUUCUUCGCAGCAAUAGCAAUAACUCGUGUUCGAACAGACGUUGCCUAUUGCAUUCACGACUUUUCUAACAGUUUGCAUAAAACUAGAAAGUGGACGGUACUGAUUCACUCUCUCAUUUCUAACAGCACGUUGAUUGUUUCUGAAGUUUAAGUUAAUAAACAAGAUCAUUAUAUGUGUAUUUUCAAUUGUUGUUGCAAGGUAGGUCGCACUGAAAACACUAAUUUGCUUUACUGACUUCUAAGGUAAGGAGACUCCACGUUCUUAGAGGAGCUUUUUAAUUUUUUCAAAAUAAAAAAAAGUUAUUUUGGUCUUUUUAGAGUUAGUUUUGUGAUAAAAACUUUAAAAAGUUAUUUAAGAGAAUUGUCAUCUAUAUAUCUAUAACUAUAAAGGAGAGUUUUCUCUCACUUCCUGCAGCCACGUCAUUUAGGAGAUAUGGGCUUUUUUUCGCCACGUGGCAACUCAAUCACUUCAGAUUCAGCCGUACCUUUUCCUCUUCGCCUCGGUUCUACGAGGUAACGUCGAGUUGAAUCAAUGAAACCCAUUACCUCUUCUUAAAUGACUCUUUUCUCCGAUCAAUUUCACAAGUGAGUUUCAUAGUUCUUCUGUCUGCUAACGUUUUUUCAAGAGUUCUCCAGAAAAGAUCCAAAAAUGAAUGGUUAAUUUCCAGAUUCUAUUUUCAGAAUUGAAGGAAGGUCAUUGCAGAGAAAAGGGGUAAGUUCAUAGGUGUUGACAUGGUUCUGAUUGACGGGAAGAUUAUCUGAUUCUCUUUAAUCUCUUAUAAGUUACUUUAAUCCAUGAUUUUAUUUCAAUCCUUCACCAUCUAGAUUCAAACACCUGCUCAAACAAGGAUCCUUUUAUGAGCUAACUGUUUUUGAUGUCACCAGGAGCAUCCAAAACUUCAGAUUCGCUGAUGCCCCUGUUUCAAUCAGAUUCGUAGAGCAAACAAGUUUCGUCGAUAUCUCAGCUAGCAAUAACCCUAGCCCAACAAAGAGCUUCAGGUUUUGUAAAUUUCGACCAGCUAUUGUCACUGGCGAACACAAACACUGAAUUGCCAGUUAGACACUUCAUUACCUGACCUAUAAUUAAUUUCAUCCUCUAAAAUCUGCCAUUAAUCCUUAUGUUUCUCUGCAGAUAUCAUUGGGGGAGGUGCGGGGCAUAAGGACCACUUAGACCGAGAUACUAAUCCACUUGACGCCUCAUGUCUGAAGCCUGAACUCAUUACUUGCUUCACAUAGAUCCCCUUAGCGGUUUGGUUGUUGUCGUCUGACCUUACGUCGUUUACAUGACAUCUAGAUUACAUCUUCAGGUUUAGUUAACAUGCUUCCCUGAAGUACUAAUUAAGUCUGUGUGUGGUUAGGGAAAAUGUUCAUUCUCUGUGUUGUUGACUGCUUCCUGCUAUUCUGAGAUAUCUAAUUUUAGGAACUGUGGAUCCAAUUUAAUAUAUACAACUUUAUUUGUCUUUGGUACAGAACAGAGGAAGAAGUUUGGAAUAGGAAAACAUUCUCUCUUAACCCUUAGUUUCUCUGUAUCAAACUUUUUAAAAAAAAUAUAUUAUGUGAUGAAUGUCAUGAUAAAAGUCUAUAACUUUGUGUAGUGGUAUUAAUUUUUAUUCAUUUUGCUCUGUAUCUUUUGAUAUUUUCAUAUGUGGAAAGGUGGAGGCUAUGGGUUGCAAAAUGUCAUUUAAUUGUUAAUGUCCGACUGUCUGAAUGCUCAACUUUGCAGGGACGGACCCGCAUGCAUAAGUGUAUUUGGCAACCUCGCAGAGCUCAUCGAUGAGGAAUUAGUAAUGUCAGGUGUGGAACCAAAGGUUGUUGUAGCCACCAAUAUCAACCCUAAAUUAGUUGGAGGUAACCAUUUCUAACACUCAUCUGUUAUUUUAGGCCAACUUUUUUCUAAAUGCUACUCCAGGAAUACAUUUCUUUUUUGACCAUGAGAGUAUUGCCAGCCAAAGUUAUCUCACAAAGUAAGGAGUUAUAACCUUUGUUACUCUGCAAAUAACUUACAUUUCUUCAUGUUAUAAAUCGUAUACAGAGUUGGUCACCACAAGGUUGGUCUCGGUAGGAAGGUUCAUCCUCAACGUCUACAAAAUAUGGUGGUGUUAAGAAGAUCGGAACGUUAACACUGUCUGAGCUAAAUGCUUAUAUCACAUCUCCCCACAGGUGACCACUUUCACGUAACCCAUCUGUUAGUGCGUUUCUUGACCGACAAUUUCUUUCACUUUCGUUGGUGCCUUAUCCAAAGGUUUGAAACCAACUUCUCUGCUCUUCCACUGAUAAAAUACUGAAUAUAUUAAAAAUAUUAAUUGGAUCGAACUGUUCUCUUUUGUUUUGAGUGCAGUGUCCCUGAGAUAAAAGAGCAAACAACGAAAGAAAGCUUUCUGUUACAUGGUAUCUCACCAGAAUCAAUCUUUUUUGGACCGUGAGUAUCUCCAACCACAGAAUGUAAUGUCUUCUUUUUUUUUAAUUUUUUAACACAGAAAUAGUAAUCAGCUCGAUAUAGCUUUACAUCAAAAAAAUUCAGGACAUAGAUCAAAAUGUUGUCUCAGUUCAGACGCAUGCAUUUGGUUUCUUUAAUCAGGUAUUGCAAUGAGGAAAGUAAGAUGAACGUUGUGUAUGAGUAUAUGAAAAAAGGAAUGCUUAAAGACCAUCUGUAUGACUCGGAUAAUCCUAGGUUGAGCUGGAGACAGAAGCUUGAGAUAUGCGCUAAAGGGCUUCACUAUCUCCAUACAGGUUCCGCUAGAGCCAUUAUACACUGCGUGUGAAGUCUGCUUCAGGCCAUUGAAGCUCUCGACCCGAACUACGAACUGGUAGUUUACUAGAACCACAAGAAGCAAACUCAAUCGGAAUAGAAAGACAACUUCAUAUCAUCAAACUGAUCCGUGGUUUGAGCAAAUUUGACGUAACAAAAGCUCCGAGAGCAACUCCAAGACAACAAGAGUGACUACCUUUUGGAUAGAUAGAGAACAUUUCUUUCUUUCAUUUUUUUUUUGUUGCAUUCAUCCAGAGUCUUUUGUUCUUUUUAUUCUCAGCAAAAUUUUCAGUAACCAAAUAACCUACCUUAGCGUUAUAAACGUAUAACUAGGAACAAUAAAUGUUUGAUUCUUUUGCUAAUGCCAUCUGAUAAUAAUACAAAAGAAAUUCAAUCCUUUGUAUUGCUCAACAUGUAAACUAAAGAAUUUAACCAAAUUUGAGUGUUUUCAAAAACUGAGAUACAAGUUUAUUUUGUAACGACUUCCUUGGUCGGGGUGGGUUGGGGACCAUAUUAUCUCAUUUCUCCUGCUCUUGGCUGGGAGGUCGGGAUAAUGCUUCUUUCUUGGCAAAGCAGUUGAUGGAGCUUUGUUAGCUUAAAUCCUGGGCCCUUUCAAGGAAAAUUUCAUGGGAACGUUCUUAAGUGUGACAAUCGUUGCUUUCUUGUGCUCUGUUAAGCUUCACAUGAUGUCCAAGUCUUUCUAAUGACUACACUUUGUUUAGGUACGUUUUGGGUGCUGUACUGGAGACUUUUUUCAAAGCAUUUGAUGGGAAAUGAUCUUUUGGUAACGACUGAAAACACAAGACACAAGAUUUGUUGAUGGUCUCGAACCAGACACAUGUUAGUAAGACGGUGAAAUGAAGUUUUGGUUAUCUUGAAUAUUAAAUGUAUUUUAAGUGUCUGGUUCAGAAAUAACACACAAGAUUUGUUAAUGGUCUCGAACCAGACACAUGUUAUUUCUCAAUACUACAUUCAAUAGAAAGUUUUACUAACAAAAAACUACAAUAAGCAAGUGUUAUUUUUACAAGUAAUUUUUUCGAGCACGAAUUUCAUACUAAAUAAAUUCAAAACUAAUACAUCACAAUAAUUAUUCUUCUAUACUAUACUUAAGAAUUCAUUUAGAUUUGGGAAUUUUUCCAAUGCAAUUAAAUGAUAUGUUCGUUUUCAUAUAUUACAAAUGUUUAUGUCUGCUUCUAAUAAUUAUUCACAACUCGCAUACAAAAACAUAACAAUAAGUGAUAUACAUAAUACAAAUGCAAAUGAUCAAUAAAUAUAUCUAAGCUUUAAGGAUAUAUAGAUGACUGAUGUACGCGAAGGUACCGUUUUUGACAGCAAUGGCAACAACAUCAGACGAACAAAAAUACUUGAAAUAGAAUUUUACAACUUAGUGUUAAUUUACGAUAAAAGAAAUUAGAUUAAAAAAAAUAUUAUGUUAUACAACAAAUAAUAAUACAUAUACAAAAAAUAAUACAUAUUAGUAAAAUGUAUAAAUUAUUCUAUCAUUGUGUUUGAUUAUUACGUCCAAAUCAUCAAAGGACAUAAUCUUUAAUGAAAUAUGUUUUAAAUGGAUCCAAAAAGUGUAAUAUCUAAAAGAUCCAAAUCAUUAAAGAUAUUUUUUUCUAAUAUAUGUGAAUAACUCCAAAACUUAAAUGAUAACUUUUUAAGUAAAUAAAAACAUGACUCUAAAUUAAUAGAAUAGAUAGAUGUCACUAUGCAUAAUAUUCUUAAAUUACGAAAGAUAUAUUGUUUUUGCCAUAUACGUGAAAUUCCAUAAAAAAAGUGUUUGUGAAACUUUACAAAAUUUUAAACAAACUAAGAUUUACCUUGGCAAAAAGAAAAAGAACUAAAAACAAGGUACAUGUUAUAGAAAAUAGAGAUUUUGAGACUGCGUCUCUCAACUCUCCCAGCCCUACUAAAUAUUAGGACUAGAUCUUAGUUAUAAAAAGUAUGAUUAACCUCUAAUUAAAUUGUUCCAACCAGUUUCCAACUUCUUUUAACUUAACACAACACCAACUUAAUUAACGCUACGAUCGUCUCCACGCUACAUUUAAGUUAUUUUGGUUAAAAUACGUUUUGGUUCAUCUUACCUUAUCCGAAGUAAAUUAUUUGAUAUGAUGUGGUGUGAAACACAAGUAAACUUCAGUUAAAACUGUAAUAUUUUAUUAAUUUUUAAAACUAUUAAUCUGUAAAAAAAUAUUUCCAAAUAGCCUGAGCAAAAUUUCCAACAAAUAAUUUUGUUAUAAUACAAAGUUUAACAAAUGCUAAAAUGAUUACAAAAGAUAAUUAAUAAAAUCCUAUAACUAAAUAAAAUUUCAUUAUAAAUUGAAAAUCUAAUAUAAAGUGAAACAAACAUAUAUUACGAAACAUCAUUUGUUCUCAAAUAGAUAUAUUAAUUAUCUAUGAAAUUAUUGAAAUUGUUUAUAUAGUACUUUAAAAUAAUAAAAA